GACUCUCGGCAACGGAUAUCUCGGCUCUCGCAUCGAUGAAGAACGUAGCGAAAUGCGAUACUUGGUGUGAAUUGCAGAAUCCCGUGAACCAUCGAGUCUUUGAACGCAAGUUGCGCCCGAAGCCGUCAGGCCGAGGGCACGCCUGCCUGGGCGUCACGCA
rnacentral:rRNA from 8 species